GAGUGCAAUAUAUAAAAGAUAGUGUUAUCUAGAAUGUCAAAGUCAAUGUAAAAUUCGAUAGCGUUAUCAAGCAAAAUCGUUUUCACUUUUUGGAAUGGAACGAUCGAGCAAAGGACACAUACAUCUUGCUGGAAUAGUACGCACCACGUGAGCAAAGAUUAUCCACUUUUGCGGUAAUUUGUGGCUGCUGAUGCGCAUGCUGUAUCGCGCAAGAUGGCCGCCAACUCGCGAUCGCUGAUUGGCGAUGGCGAAGCGGGUUAUUUGACCGGCGGUUGGUGGUUCCAGCAGUGCCUGGUGCGAGUAAUUUUGAUCGUGAUUAUACUAAUUUCAUAGUAUGCCCCUUCUCGGUGGCUUAAGCAUUGGGUGAGUUCACACGAGCAGCAGUACAGGGCAAGAGUUGCCGUGCUAGCGAAAUCGAACAUCAUUUGUAAGAUUCCUUUCGACGUGUGUCAAAGUGAUUUUGUGUUUUCGAAUCUACGCCAGGCUAUGGAUAACAGUUCGCAGAAAGUUUCAUGUUGGUGUUCGUCAUUCGUGAGCUCAUGACGCGUUUUUGAUGGCGUUCUCCAAGAUCUGACGACGAACCAAGAGGAAAUGAUAGCCGUAUUAAUUUGAUGUUUUUGAAUUUAUCUAAUAAUAAACGUGUAUGUCUCUGCCUUUUUCUCGUA